GGAGCGAGGGAUGCAACAUGGUGCAUCUGGGAGGCCUGCUAACUGGCUAACUUCUCCGGCGUUCCUCCCGGCCGAGGCGUGGGCACAGAAUAGCGGCGGCACCGGCGCCGUUUGAAGACAUCAUUUUCCAGUUUUGGAGCCGACUAAUGAACUAGUUCUUAAGUGAAAGGCAUUUAACACGACUGUGCAUCUACAGGUACUAGGUUUCCAAGAUGCCUUUCCAGACUAAAACCCACACAUGUGAGCCGCUGGCCGGACAAACAUCUGGCACCUAACGUGGGGCUGAAAAACAGCAGAGGACAUUUGGAAGAAACACUGCUGGUUUGGAGCUCCAUAGAAGAAGAAAAUAAUUAAAGGAAAUUCAUACCAGAGAAGGUCAGUAUGGGCUAAGCUGAAACAGCGUUUAACCUGAGCGCUAAUUCGCUUAGGUUCAGCAGUGAGGCAUCUCAGGAGCUAGGAACGUAACAGGCGGUUAGCCAUAGCUCCCAGAAGCUACAUUUUUAGGCGUGAGAAAAGAAAGGGUUUAUUAAAAGGAAAUUAAUAAUAAGGCGGACUGCAUUAUGCGGGAGGAAAAUGUCCCAAAAAGCAGAGAGAAAUUUCCGGAAAGCCAUGCUUUGUUCUCUCUGGGCUUUACAGCAGAAAUACUCUGCCCCUUUUGUGUCUUGUCUAAUGUCUGGUGCACUGAAAGACCCACAACAUGAGGACUCCCCCACGUUCUGACUCAGGAGAGGCGACACCCCAAACCACUCACAAGAAACGGUCUUGCUGCAAACUGCAAGAGGAUUUUUUUAUUCAAGAGCGCUCUCGGGCCCACGGUCAUACACCACACAGGGGUAGAGGACUGUCGCGUCCUGAGUUGCUGGGAAAGUGGGUAUUUAAAGGAAGAAACCACAACUCAAGGAAGUGGGGAGGGCGUUGUUGGAAAAUAUAAAGAUACCAGUUAAGAGUCCCAAGGAAGUGCAAAGUCACAAGAGUCACAAGGAAUACCUGGAAAUUUUGCAGGUUAUCUCUCAAGACAGUUUCUAAGAGCCCCUAACAAUAGCACAUUUGCAUAGUGGGUUCCGCCAAUGGUCAGGGUGACUUUCUUUGAAUGAACACUCUUUGAACCCAGGAAGCAGGUGGGUAGAGGAAUGUCACUAUCUGUUUUAUGAUUAGCAUACCUUGGAGCAUUAAGUCACAGAGGUCACAUUCCCAAGCCUNNNNNNNNNNNNNNNNNNNNNNGUUUUUAUGUUAUACUUUCAGCACCAAUCUGUUCACAUGUUCAAUUCAUGUAUGUUCGUGUCCAGUCUGUAUGAAUGAAUGUUCUAUGUUUUAUGUUGGAUAAUAAAGAUGGCAAAAAAAAAAUAAAAAACUUUAUCUGCAAAGCCGAGAGCUGCCACGUGCUGCAACCAGGAAACAGACACAUGGCAGGAGGGCCCCUGCUGAAAAAACUGUUAUAGGAAAAAAAGGCGAGUCUACAGCCUCUCAGUUUCGGGGUAAAAAAAGCUGAUAAAUGUUUUUUUCCUGGAGGGUCCUCUACAAUCGUGAUUAAUAUGUUUGGCAAAUGAUAAAGUGCUUUUUAUUCCGUGAUUGUAGCUAGAAAAAUUAAUAUUCUCUGAUUGGUCUAAAUGUAACUGCUUCAUUUGGUUUUUUUAUUGGUAAUGUGCUCUGCGUGUUUUCACUAUCAGCUCAUAAGUUAUGGGUUAAGAUUAAUAAUUGUUACAUUGCUACAGAUGAUUAGUCUUAAAAUUGAUAACUCAAGUUUAAUGUCUUUCCAACACAUGGCAUAAGGCAGGCCGAGAGGCUGGGUCUCUAAAGAUAUUUCUAGUUAAGAUAAUAAUUAAUGUGGUUCCUAUCCUAGAAAGUAGAAUUUAAGAUAAGAGUUAAAGCAAUGUCUCUUUAUUAAAGCAUUAAAGCUUACAUGUAUUCAUAGGUAUUAAUUGGCAGCCAGGCUUCGUAAUAUGAUAGUAAUGCUUCUAAUAUUAAUUCUAUGAGUAAUAAAUUGUUUUAAAAUUAGGCUUUACUUUCCCAAAGUUAAUGUUGCAAAAGAAACUUAAUAAUUCUUUACAGAUCUAGCCAGAUGCUGUUUUAAUGAAGUUCAAGUUCAUAGUUUGUAAAGAGUCAAUCAGACCGUAAAAUUUAUCAAGGCAUUACAGUCUGGUUUGCCUACCUUUUAUAUAGUUAUUUUAAAUCCGAAGGUUUGUUUCUUUUUCUCUCUCCUUUGCAUCUUAAUGAUUGUAAAGGUUUUGCCUCUAGUGAGUUUGUAAUAACCUAAAUAUUUUGCCUCUAAUAUGGCUAAAUAUUGAUCUACAUUAUGUAAAAAAUUUUUAUCAUUUCUGCUUCUAUACAAGAAGCCAAAAUUUUUUAAUCUUUCAAUGUAUAUUUUUUCCUAAGUGAAAAAUGUUUUAUUAACUAAUGCUUCUCAAGGGAAGUUUACUUUAAAUCUUUGCUCUCACCCAAAAGAUUCAGAGACAAUAUCCUUUUAUUACUUAGGGUUUUAGUUUACUACAAAAGGUUUUACAAAAAAUAAAGAAAGCUUUUAUAGUUGUUGUUAACUAUAUUCAUUGGCAAUUAAAUAUUAGCUGUGCCCAAGACAAUUCCUUGGCCAGAAAAAACAUUGUAAAGUCAUUUUUCUGAUCCUUCCAGCCGAUCCUUGGCCCAUGUUGAGCCCAGCUAGCUGCUGGCUGCUGUGGGGCGGGGCCUUGAGACACACAGUUUCCCCCUGUUUCAGCACAAAUAAUCUAGUUGUGUGCUGUAGAUGGUGUUUUAAAAUACUGAACAAUCAAUCCUUAAUUUGUAUAUUGAUAGUCAAUGCUAUAUCUCAGAGCUCACAAUUGCUUAAGAUUGUUCGUCCCUCAGAUACUAUUAAUUCUCAAAUUUGCAAUUGCUUAUGCAUAUAUAACUCAUAGAAAAAAAUGCUGUCCUUUUAAGAAGACGGUUUUUAGACAUUUAUUAAAUUGUCCUAAUUGCCUGGACAUUUUAAAACAAUGCCAGGAUAAAUUUAUAUCUCAGACAGUCUAUAGGUCGUCCAUAUAAAAUAGAUUGGAUAUAUAACCUUGUUCUUUAUAUAUUCAUAACAGUUAUGGUUUAAGAUAAUGUUUUAGUAUUCUUAAAAAUUGUGCAUGUAUAAUUCUUUCUUUUUAGUGUCCUCAGUUAUUACUUGUUUCCACAUAAUAGUGUUAAUUCUUGAGGACUUUUACUUAAUAAUUUGCGACAAAUAAAUGCUCUUAUUUCUAGUUAAUAAAUAAAUUAUGCACAUGUGACUCUUAAUAACUUUUCAAGCUUUCUAGUUACAACCGAUCCUUAAGAAAAAUGAUUUCCCCCAAGCCAAGGUUAAAGCCCACUCAUCUACGGAUGAGAAAAUCAUUUGAUCACCUCAGUUAAGUGUGGCCUUAUUAUACUUAAUUAAUAGGGGGGGGAGAGAGGUUGGAGACCGUACUGUUAGAAGGGCAAGCCCUUCACAGCCUCCCACCCUAAAAAGCCAAUUGGCCUUGUACUAAGGACCUGGUCGUCAUCCCCUCCACCCUGCCUGUCAUCCAAGAAUGCAGAGGAAUAUCCACUUACUCUCCUUCAAUGUUAUUCAUAAUAUAGUGCCUUUCAAAUUCUUACCGUCAGCUUUCUGCCCUGUAGCUGACUACUUAAAAUUCAACUAGGAAGUUACCUAUUCAGUACUAAUUAGCAUUAUAAAGUCAGAGCCUAUAGCUCAGGGCUAAUCUGCUACUUGUUUAUUAGGACAGAAAGGACAGUCUUAUCCAGAUACAGUAUACC
ensembl:lincRNA